GCCACCCCACACAUCCCAGGUCCUCAUGUCACUUCAUUUGUGCCCCAUUCCCCUGUGCCACCCCAUGUGCCCCAAAUCCCUGUGCCACCCCAUGUGUCCCAAAUCCCUGUGCCACCCCACGUGGCAACCAGCGCGUCCCAAGUCCCUGUGCCACCUCCUGUGCCCCAAAUCCCUGUGCCACCCCAUGUGCCCAUGUCCAUGGGUCCCACGUCCCCACAUCACCUCCUGUGCCCCAAAUCCCUGUGCCACCCCAUGUGCCCCAAAUCCCUGUGCCAUCCCAAGUGGCAACCAGCGCGUCCCAAGUCCCUGUGCCACCCCAUGUGCCCAUGACCACAGGUCCCAGGUCCCCAUACGUUCCAUUCCCCUGUGCCACCCCACAGGUCCCAGGUCCCUGUGCCACCUCCUGUGCCCCAAAUCCCUGUGCCACCCCAUGUGCCCCAUUCCCCUGUGCCACCCCAUGCCCCAUUCCCUUGUGCCACCCCAUGUGCCACCCCACGUGCCCCAAAUCCCUGUGCCACCCCAUGUGCCACCCCACACAUCCCAGGUCCUCAUGUCACUUCAUUUGUGCCCCAAAUCCCUGUGCCACCUCCUGUGCCCCAAAUCUCUUUGCGAUCCCAUGUGCCCAUGUCCAUGGGUCCCACGUCCCCACAUCACCUCCUGUGCCCCACAUCCCUGUGCCACCCCAUGUGCCCCAUUCCCCUGUGCCAUCCCAAGUGGCAACCAGCGCGUCCCAAGUCCCUGUGCCACCCCAUGUGCCCGAAGUCCCUGUGCCACCCCAUGUGCCCAUGCCCAAAUGACCCAGGUCCCCAUACGUUCCAUUCCCCUGUGCCACCCCACACAUCCCAGGUCCCUGUGCCGCUUCCUGUGCCCCAAAUCCCUGUGCCACCCCGUGCCACCCCACACGUCUCAGGUCCUCACGCCACCUCAUUUGUGCCCCAAAUCCCUGUGCCACCCCAUGUGCCCAUGCCCAAAUGUCCCAGGUCCCCACGUCACCUCCUCUGUGCCCCAUUCCCCUGUGAAACCCCAUGUGCCACCCCAUGCCCAUGGAUCCCCAUAUGUCCCAUUCCCAUGUGCCACCCCACACGUCCCAGGUCCCCACGUCACCUCCUUUGUGCCCCAAAUCCCAGUGCCACCCCAUGCGCCCCAUUCCCCUGUGGCACCCCAAGUGGCAACCAGUGCGUCCCAGGUCCCUGUGCCACCUCCAGUGCCCCAAAUCCCAGUGCCACCCCAUGUGCCCCAAAUCCCUGUGCCACCCCAUGUGCCACCCCACACAUCCCAGGUCCUCAUGUCACUUCAUUUGUGCCCCAAAUCCCUGUGCCACCCCAUGUGCCCCAUUCAUCUGCGCCACCACAUGUGGCAGCCAGCGUGUCCAGGUCCCUGUGCCACCCCAUGUGCCCCAAAUCUCUUUGCCACCCCAUGCACCCCAUUCCCUUGUGCCACCCCAUGUGUCACCCAGCGCGUCCCAGGUCCCUGUGCCACCUCAUGUGCCCCAAAUCCCUGUGCCGCCCCAUGUGCCCACACCCAAACGUCCCAGGUCCCCACAUCACCUCCUUUGUGCCCCAUUCCCAUGUGCCACCCCAUGUGUCCCAAAUCCCUGUGCCACCCCAUACAGCACCCCAUCCACCCCACAUCCUUGUGUCACCCCAUACACCCCACACCCCAUACACCCCACAGCCCCAUACCACCCCAUACACCUCAUAUCGUUGUGUCACCCCAUCCACCCCACAUCCUCGUGUCACCCCAUCCACC
ensembl:lncRNA